CUCAAUUUUGCUUCGGAGUUGAUAACAUUAUCCAGUAUGGCUCUCCAGGAAAAGAUAAACUCAUGGGCAGAUGGUGCUGACCCAGUUGCUAUUGGGAAUUUGGUGAUGCAGAGCACAGAGGCAGCGAUGGGAUUUCACUACCCUGAGGAGGUGCUGAGCACAUUCAGAUGUCUCCAAAGCUGGUCAGUCCUAUAAUGAGCCCCUGUCGCGUGCCAGGAGUUGCUGAAGCUUUGGAAAGGAAGAUUUUGUCUGCUACAAACCCUGCCAUGGUACAGAGGUUAACUAGACACCUGAAAUUGCAACGCUGGAGUAGAUAAAGCAGCCUGGAAUCAGUUAACAAGCUUAAAUCACUGUUCAGUCUGUCCUAUAUUACAACAGAAAAACCUUUGGAACUGAAAAUGCUGAGCUGCAUCUGCAGCUGGCAAUGAGGCAUGUAGCUCUGGCCCUGGGUUUGGCUUCUGAUGGUUGGACAGGAGCUUUGUACAUGGUGGAACAGGUUCCCAGAGAGGUGGCUGAUGCUCUGUCCCUGGACACAACCAAGGUCAGACUGGACCAGGCUCUGGGCAACCUGAGGUAGCUGUAGGUAUCCUCAUUUGUGGUAGGGGAGUUGGACUAGAUGACCCUUCCAAGAUCCCUUCCAUCUCAAAUGAUUCUACAGUCUUAUGGUGGAUGAACACUUCAGGUCUCCCAGUGAUGAACUUCAGUGGAGACGUAGCAGAAAUUUAGAGACAAGCAGGAACCCAUGAGUUGGGGAUUGGGAUGAAUGAUGGGUAUUGUCACUGCAGGCUCUGUCUUCUUCUAAGCCAUCCUGUGUUUGGUUGCCUUGUCCUGACGUAGUCAUUCCUGUGGGAACACUUCUUCCUCUCUCCUGGUUGAAGGCAGAGUAAUCGCAGCCACACUCCUAGUGGGGCCUCCUGGUGCUCUGCACACCUCCCUCAUGCCUUGGUGUGGAACGGUUUACAUGAGAACCUUCAGUGGUAUUUAAUCAGAAAUUUGGGCUCAGAGGGUUGUUUUGGGUUUCUUUGCAUCUGUUUUCUUAGCGUUAGCAGCUGGCUCCUGGGAACCUGCUGCCACCACCUGCCCUGGCAGCACUGGGCUUUGGUGUGGUGCUGGCACUCCGUGCACAGAGCCAUUUAAUUGAAGGUGGGUGAGGACAAGGCUC
rnacentral:lncRNA from 1 species